GAUGAACGCUGGCGGCGUGCCUAAUACAUGCAAGUCGAGCGAACAGACGAGGAGCUUGCUCCUCUGACGUUAGCGGCGGACGGGUGAGUAACACGUGGAUAACCUACCUAUAAGACUGGGAUAACUUCGGGAAACCGGAGCUAAUACCGGAUAAUAUAUUGAACCGCAUGGUUCAAUAGUGAAAGACGGUUUUGCUGUCACUUAUAGAUGGAUCCGCGCCGCAUUAGCUAGUUGGUAAGGUAACGGCUUACCAAGGCAACGAUGCGUAGCCGACCUGAGAGGGUGAUCGGCCACACUGGAACUGAGACACGGUCCAGACUCCUACGGGAGGCAGCAGUAGGGAAUCUUCCGCAAUGGGCGAAAGCCUGACGGAGCAACGCCGCGUGAGUGAUGAACGUCUUCGGAUCGUAAAACUCUGUUAUUAGGGAAGAACAAAUGUGUAAGUAACUAUGCACGUCUUGACGGUACCUAAUCAGAAAGCCACGGCUAACUACGUG
rnacentral:rRNA from 1 species